rnacentral:snRNA from 1 species
AUACAUACCUAGACGUGGUCAAUGGGUGAUCAAUAAGACCCAUGGCCUAGAUUUGUGACCUUCAUUGCACUUUGAAGGGUUGCUUAUCUAAGGUCGGCCAAAGUGGUCGAGCCUACGUCACAAUUUGUUGCAGGGGGGCAUGCGUUCGCGUGUCCCUACC